AGAAUUUGCACAUGGGGGAAACCUGAUGCAGCUAUACCGCGUGUGUGAUGAAGGUCUUAGGAUUGUAAAACACUUUCAGCAAGGGAAAAAAUUAAUAUAAAUAAUACUUAUAUUAACUGAUAUUACCUGCAAAAGAAGUACCGGCUAACUCCGUGCCAGCAGCCGCGGUAAUACGGAGGGUACAAGCGUUAAUCGGAAUUAUUGGGCGUAAAGAGUACGUAGGUGGUAUAUUAAGUCAGAUGUGAAAUACUUAAGCUUAACUUAAGAACUGCAUUUGAAACUAAUAAACUAGAGUUUUAUAGAGGGGAGUAGAAUUCCAAGUGUAGCGGUGAAAUGCGUAGAUAUUUGGAGGAAUACCAGAGGCGAAGGCGACUCCCUGGGUAAUAACUGACACUGAGGUACGAAAGCUUGGGGAGCAAACAGGAUUAGAUACCCUGGUAGUCCAUGCUGUAAACGAUGUCAAUUUGAAGAUUGUAAUAUUAUUAUUUUUUAUAAUUUUCGUAGCUAACGCAUUAAAUUGACCGCCUGGGGAUUACGACCGCAAGGUUAAAACUCAAAUGAAUUGACGGGGACCCGACAAGCGGUGGAGCAUGUGGUUAAAUUCGAUACAACGCGAAAAACUUACCUACUCUGACAUCUAUAGUAUAAGCA
rnacentral:rRNA from 1 species